CCCCUUGCUUCUCUUUCUCUUCUCAAUUUUUCUCCAUCACUGUCGCUCAAGUUGAGCCGAUGAAUUAUUGGAUUUGGGCAAGAUAGGAGGUCUCUCCUAUUUCGAAUAUUCUUUCUUUAUUUUACCAACCAUCGGUGGCAAUGGUCACUACCGGGGUCGCAUCUCAGUUGGCAUGGGAUGCUGUCGUUGGCCGUCGAUUGGGAUUCCAUGUUCAUGGUCGAACAA
rnacentral:lncRNA from 1 species